UUGGGCCAAACUAUUAACGACGGGCAUAUUUGUCCUAUUUCAAAUAGUUCACGGGCAUAUUUGGACCUUUUCCGUUUACUUAUUUAAUAUGAGUUGGAAUGCCCUGGACUUAAUGUGGAUAUAUUGCUAUGCAAGAAGGCUGAACUCUUGCCUUUUAAAUUUCUACUAGUUUCCACGAAGGUGCCUGCAUUGAACUUUACCUCAAGCUAAAUUUUGAGCUGCAAAAGUUUUGCACAGAAAAUAAUCAAGUGGGACAAGCUGCUCUCUGUGUUCCACCAAGAUGUUCUCUUUGAGAUAGCCACAGAGGAAUUUUUUAUUGGUCUGCACAGAGCAUGCCCUCAAGUUGUUUCUGUCCAUGCUAGUCUGAAAGCUGCCAACAUGAAUUAUCAAGGGCUUGGCAAAUGGACGAUUGACUGUCAAAUGUACCUUCUGGUAAUUCAGAACUUUCACAUUUGUUCUCUCUUUAAGAAAUCAAUGUUAUUAAUUAUUUGUUGUAGUUCCAAUUUUUAGCGGUUUCAGAUACCUUUUCUCUAGAUGAGGUUUAGUGUAGUGAGUGCCAAUGUGCCAAGUUGUAUGCUUCUCGUUCCCUUUUUGUGGUCUCUGAAUCUUGGUCGUUGUGUAUGAGCUGCAAUGAUAUUCUUCUCUUUGUCCUGCUACUUGGAUGUUGACCUCAAGGAUUUAUAAUUUUUCUGACAAAUUGCAUUGUUGAUUUAUUAGUCACAGGUCAUAAACUUGUUCUAGUAUGAUCAUUCAUUAGCCUUUGAAUUUUGUUAAGCAAGAAUGAAUUGAAAUGCAUGUUCUUUGACUUGGAAGUCCAAGAGAAGGCAGAUAGUAUCAUCCUUCAUUAGCCUUUGAAUUUUGUUAAUCAAG
rnacentral:lncRNA from 1 species